rnacentral:sRNA from 1 species
UCCGCCCCGCGCGCUCCUUGCCGAGGAGCCGAGCCCGCGCCCGGCCCGCCCGCCCGGCGCUGCCCCGGCCCUCCCGGCCCGCGUGAGGCCGCCCGCGCCCGCCGCCGCCGCAGCCCGGCCGCGCCCCGCCGCCGCCGCCGCCGCCAUGGGCUGCCUCGGGAACAGUAAGACCGAGGACCAGCGCAACGAGGAGAAGGCGCAGCGUGAGGCCAACAAAAAGAUCGAGAAGCAGCUGCAGAAGGACAAGCAGGUCUACCGGGCCACGCACCGCCUGCUGCUGCUGGGUGCUGGAGAAUCUGGUAAAAGCACCAUUGUGAAGCAGAUGAGGAUCCUGCAUGUUAAUGGGUUUAAUGGAGAGGGCGGCGAAGAGGACCCGCAGGCUGCAAGGAGCAACAGCGAUGGUGAGAAGGCAACCAAAGUGCAGGACAUCAAAAACAACCUGAAAGAGGCGAUUGAAACCAUUGUGGCCGCCAUGAGCAACCUGGUGCCCCCCGUGGAGCUGGCCAACCCCGAGAACCAGUUCAGAGUGGACUACAUUCUGAGUGUGAUGAACGUGCCUGACUUUGACUUCCCUCCCGAAUUCUAUGAGCAUGCCAAGGCUCUGUGGGAGGAUGAAGGAGUGCGUGCCUGCUAUGAACGCUCCAACGAGUACCAGCUGAUUGACUGUGCCCAGUACUUCCUGGACAAGAUCGACGUGAUCAAGCAGGCUGACUACGUGCCGAGCGAUCAGGACCUGCUUCGCUGCCGUGUCCUGACUUCUGGAAUCUUUGAGACCAAGUUCCAGGUGGACAAAGUCAACUUCCACAUGUUUGACGUGGGUGGCCAGCGCGAUGAACGCCGCAAGUGGAUCCAGUGCUUCAACGAUGUGACUGCCAUCAUCUUCGUGGUGGCCAGCAGCAGCUACAACAUGGUCAUCCGGGAGGACAACCAGACCAACCGCCUGCAGGAGGCUCUGAACCUCUUCAAGAGCAUCUGGAACAACAGAUGGCUGCGCACCAUCUCUGUGAUUCUGUUCCUCAACAAGCAAGAUCUGCUCGCUGAGAAAGUCCUUGCUGGGAAAUCGAAGAUUGAGGACUACUUUCCAGAAUUUGCUCGCUACACUACUCCUGAGGAUGCUACUCCCGAGCCCGGAGAGGACCCACGCGUGACCCGGGCCAAGUACUUCAUUCGAGAUGAGUUUCUGAGGAUCAGCACUGCCAGUGGAGAUGGGCGUCACUACUGCUACCCUCAUUUCACCUGCGCUGUGGACACUGAGAACAUCCGCCGUGUGUUCAACGACUGCCGUGACAUCAUUCAGCGCAUGCACCUUCGUCAGUACGAGCUGCUCUAAGAAGGGAACCCCCAAAUUUAAUUAAAGCCUUAAGCACAAUUAAUUAAAAGUGAAACGUAAUUGUACAAGCAGUUAAUCACCCACCAUAGGGCAUGAUUAACAAAGCAACCUUUCCCUUCCCCCGAGUGAUUUUGCGAAACCCCCUUUUCCCUUCAGCUUGCUUAGAUGUUCCAAAUUUAGAAAGCUUAAGGCGGCCUACAGAAAAAGGAAAAAAGGCCACAAAAGUUCCCUCUCACUUUCAGUAAAAAUAAAUAAAAUAACAGCAGCAAACAAAUAAAAUGAAAUAAAAGAAACAAAUGAAAUAAAUAUUGUGUUGUGCAGCAUUAAAAAAAAUCAAAAUAAAAAUUAAAUGUGAGCAAAGAA